UACGGAGGAUCCGAGCGUUAUCCGGAUUUAUUGGGUUUAAAGGGUGCGUAGGCGGCCUAUUAAGUCAGGGGUGAAAGACGGUAGCUUAACUAUCGCAGUGCCUUUGAUACUGAUAGGCUUGAAUAUACUUGAGGUAGGCGGAAUGUGACAAGUAGCGGUGAAAUGCAUAGAUAUGUCACAGAACACCAAUUGCGAAGGCAGCUUACUAAAGUAUGAUUGACGCUGAGGCACGAAAGCGUGGGAUCAAACAGG
rnacentral:rRNA from 1 species